rnacentral:rRNA from 1 species
AUUGAACGCUGGCGGCAGGCUUAACACAUGCAAGUCGAGCGCCCCGCAAGGGGAGCGGCAGACGGGUGAGUAACGCGUGGGAAUCUACCCAUCUCUACGGAAUAACGCAUGGAAACGUGUGCUAAUACCGUAUACGUCCUUCGGGAGAAAGAUUUAUCGGAGAUGGAUGAGCCCGCGUUGGAUUAGCUAGUUGGUGGGGUAAAGGCCUACCAAGGCGGCGAUCCAUAGCUGGUCUGAGAGGAUGAUCAGCCACACUGGGACUGAGACACGGCCCAGACUCCUACGGGAGGCAGCAGUGGGGAAUAUUGGACAAUGGGCGCAAGCCUGAUCCAGCCAUGCCGCGUGAGUGAUGAAGGCCCUAGGGUUGUAAAGCUCUUUCACCGGUGAAGAUAAUGACGGUAACCGGAGAAGAAGCCCCGGCUAACUUCGUGCCAGCCGCCGCAGUAACAC